GAUGAGUUUUAUUGUUAGUAGUUGUUAUAGCAACCUGAGGUGCCGGAGAGUAAUACAUGCUCAGCGCGUUGCAACAGACUCUGACAAGUUCAAGGCUGUUGCCUUGCUGCUAAAUCUUGUUGCCAAGGCAAUGCAACAUAAGGCAAGAGCCUAGAGAAAUGAACACUGCUGACAGCUCGUGCCAGCAGGCUCGGUCUGAUUAAAACGGAACUUUUGAAAGUCAUGUUAACUUAAACAGCGCAGCAGCAGCAGAAGUGAAAGGGGAGCACGGCGAUGGAGGAGAGGAUCCGGAGGAGGAGCAGUGGGUUAAUGUCAAGCAACAGCCUUUUUAAACAUGGCAAAAUGUUAGCUGGAAAAGAGAUGAGGCUGCAAGUUGAUUAUUCUCUCCUGACUAUGAUUCACUGUUAAUGAUGACAGCAUGGUCUGAGUUGAAGGAAGAGUACUACCCCAAGGACCACAGAGUCAAAACAGAUGAUCAAUGCUGAAGAAAUCAGUUUUCUUAUCUCCCUUAGCAAAAUGUCUGUGGCACUGAAGUCUGCUGUGUAUAUUCAUUUAUCGUUCCCCCACGGAGUCCCAGAGAGUUCAGAUACCCCGGUUAAAACCACUGACUUUGCAAUUUAUGGUAAGUCAUCAGCAGGGAAAGAGACAGACUUGGAGCUGGCUGAAACAUAUUAUGAAGAAUCACCAGGAUUUGCCAGGCAAAGACAAGCAAAGGUUUUUCUCUCACACACUAUCCACGAACCUUUGCGACUGAUUUGUUUUGAGUUUCCAAUGUCUGUUUGCACAGACCCGAUCAUUGCUCCCGCUGCCCUUCUCCGCUUCCUGUUGGAGAACAAACCGAGACAGUCAGCAGAAGCAAUCUCACGUCCUUUAGUAUGAAAACCACUGAACACCGUUUGUCCCGCCAGAGAAAUCAGUGCUUUAAGUAUGUGAGCAAUCCACUGACUUCAUAGGAAUACCUCUGGAUGGCUUUCUUAAGCGUUCUCUCGAUGGCUGCAGCGACCGAAGGACACUGCUCUGAGCACUUGCUUGCAGGCUGCAGGGAGCUCCACGUAGCUGCUGCCGGCCCUGGCAGCUCUUUGGGGAGCCCUGCCGUGCUGGGGCAACGAGCUCCUGCCCCCCGCUUUCGAUCCGGCCGUUCCUAGCAUUACGCAUCCCUGGGAAUACACUCAGAAACUACAGAUGAAGUCAUUCCCAAGGGUCUGCUUAGGUAUUUGGGGCCCUGGACACUGAGAGGAGCUAAAAUCUUAUGCUCUAUGAAUGGUUUUUAAAGGGAAAGUGGAACUCUUUUUAUAGUACCUUAGCCGUUUGUUAAUCUUGAAUUGGUAAAUGAUUGACUCCUCUACAAUUUGUUUAUCCUUAUCGUUAGAGAUUGCGCUAACAUAUGUUCUUCAAUCUUAUUUGCUUCAAAAGAGGCUUUGGGAGUAACAAUUACCUAUGCAGAAUCCAAAAUCAAACAUUAUUCGCGAAUUAAUAUAGUUUAUGCAUAUUAACAAAUUUGAGGCUGAUUUCAUCUCUGUGCUGUCCUUUCAAGUGAUCCAUCAAAUCGUAAAGGCAAGAGUUUGCCCAAAAGGCCCUGAAUUUGACUCGAUGCUCUAAACUUCAAAACUUCUGCCCAGGAAAUUACGCCACAUGCUCCUCUGCAGGUCCAGAGUUAGAACAACAAGCACAGCGUGCAAAGAUACAUCACCACUGAGGGCAGGGGGUGACUCUAGCUUUGUGCUAUGUCCAAUUUGUCUUGGGAUAAUGAAGAAGAGAGUGGCAGCUUACCCCAGAGCCCAGGACAGGUACAGAAAGCUACUGAAUCAACACUCACAUCCCCCAGACCAUGACCUUAUGCUCCUGUACUUCCAUGCUCCUCUCCCCCAGGCAGUUGUACUGGGCUCCCCACCAGGUGUGGGUCAGGUGACAGAGGUGGCAGUUCAGCUUCAAGUCACAGUUAAUGUGCUGACAAAGAAUUCACAACUUGUUGUUCAACCAACAUAAACCUUUUGCCCAAGUGUAGUUAGGGCUGAGCCAACAAACGUGGGUUUCUUGAUGCAAAAGGUUGUGCUGUGCUCCAAACGCAUCAUCAGAAUCACAGAUUAGAGAUGUCUUUUUAAAAAUGUGCUCUGAACACGAGUUUUUGCUUCCAAAAAUAACUUGUAUUUUGCUCAUAUUAGAAGAGCAGGAUGUUCUUUCCUGUCCUGAAGGGAUAAGGAGGAAAUGAGAACUAUGGGUUUUUUAUAUGAUAUGAGCUACUAUUCUUCUGGACUAGUGCUGUGAAUCUGCAUUUUUUUUCCCCCCAGCCUUAGCAUUUUAUUCCCCAUGGACCUCAUUUUGCUUCCAUUCAUGCUGAUGUUACCCCAGCGAAGCUCUCUCUGAUUUCAAAGGAAUUCCUCCAUAUUUACAACCUCUCCCAUCCUGAGGCAGUAGGCAUUAGAAGGGAGGCAAACUACUGAAGACAGCAAAUGCUGAAUGUCUCAAAUCCCUUUUCAAAUGAGAUAAAGUCAGUUGGGAGACACGAGUGGGGGCAUAAAGCAUCCUUUCCUGUCCUCUGCGUUUGAAGGAAAGAGACGGCUGUUUGGAGGAAAUGUGAACGUAAUGGACUGUACAUUCGUGUCCCAUUGUACUGAGAUCUGACAGGAAACACUUGGGGUUUGAUUCAGGAAAAAGUAAAUAGUAUUCCUUUAUAAUACUCCCAUAACCUCAGUUAUCCUGCAGUAUUUGACUACACCCCUGUCUUUAAUGUAUAUAUUCUCACAGCUCUCUCCAAAAGACCAGAAGGAAAUCUGGCCACUGGGGAGCAGGGGAGGCAUGGGAAGAGAUCGUGCAGCAUUUUCCAGCCGAUGGCUCUCCUAAGUGACAGCAAAACUCCGGUGGCUCUCUCCCUUUUAAACCAAAGGGACACCGGAGCAGCUGCCAUUACUGACUGCCACCAUGGCGGUUCCUUAUGGGAGGAGAGCUGCAAAUACUGAACUUUGGGUAAUUUCUGAACAGACUCCGCCAAGCCCAUCUCCAUCGGCUCU